rnacentral:lncRNA from 1 species
UGCUGUCGCCACCGCCGCUGCCCGUGCCGCCCGCUGGCCUGAUCCAGGUGUCAAGUUUUUGCACCUGCCACCUUCUCAUCUCUUUCCUCUUCUCCUUUCUCUUCUCGUACUCCCGUUCUUCUGGGGCGCGGGGAGGGGGCGGCAGGUGGCGGUGGGCACGGCUCUAGAAUGUAAUGUCACUUUGCAGCCGGUGGGGCCAGGCUGGGAGAGGGCGAGAAGACGCUGGCCUCCCUGCGCCCACCCCCAGCCUACCCUCAUUUCCCCACCCUCAGCGGCCCCAGCUCCUCAGCACUCCCAGCUGGGCGCUCUUGUCAGCUGGUCCCACCCCUGGUGCCUGCUCCUGUCCAAGCCCUGGGGUCCGAGCCUGGAGCUGCCCCCUGGAUCCCGCUGUGCACCUCUGCUGGGACCCAAAGCCAUUGGCGAGUUGUCUUCAGCCACCCAGGUGCAGGAAAAUGCCUUUUUCAGAUGAUAGAUUGAGGAAAACUGCUUCUCCUUCACUUCUCAGCACGCUCUGA